rnacentral:rRNA from 1 species
CCUACGGGUGGCAGCAGUCGAGAAUCAUUCACAAUGGGGGAAACCCUGAUGGAGCGACGCCGCGUGGGGGAAUGAAGGUCUUCGGAUUGUAAACCCCUGUUAUGUGGGAGCAAAUUAUAAAGAUAGUACCACAAGAGGAAUAGCCGGUGAACUCUGUGCCAGCAGCCGCGGGAAUACAGAGGUCUCAAGCGUUGUGCGGAAUCACUGGGCGUAAAGGGUGCGUAGGCUGUUUCGUAAGUCGUGUGUGAAAGGCGGGGGCUCAACCAGAGAAUGGCACGUGAUACUGCGAGACUAGAGUAUGGUAGGGGGAAGCGGAAUGCGCGGUGUAGCAGUGAAAUGCUUAGAUAUCAAGAAGAACACUCGUUGCGAAGGCGGGUUGCUGAACAAUAACUGACGCUGAGGCACGAAGGCGAGGGGAGCGAAAGGGAUUAGAUACCCGAGUAGUC